GCCCACUUGUUACUGUUUCAAUCUUAACUGUGUGUUCGGCAAAUAGUUAACCAUGGUUUGAUUAACAUAGCCCACCCUGUUUAGCAGCCUCUCUCUAUAAAAAGCCACUCAUAAUUGGGUUUGGCUUAGCUUAGUGAAGUAGAGAGAGUAGCACCUAAUUGAGUUGAGGAAAUGAUUUGAAGAAGAGGGUGGCAUAGAUACCACUCCUUGAGAUAAGACGCUACAAAUUUCUUGCUCUUCAUUUUUGGUUCUCCAUGUGUCCUCCAAUGCCUUCCCCACUUUUUGAAAUUGAUUCUAGUGAUGAACAAAUCAUUUUGUCACUCGAUGAGUACAUACGUGGAUCCCCUCUUCCUAGUAACGUGAAAGCAGAUAUGAACCCAUACCAGUACAAUCCCUCAGAUUUACCAGUUGAAUUUUGGUAUCUCAUACAUUCAAAUGAGAAAAAAGAGUUUGCCUUUGGAUUUUGGACAGCCAAAGGAGAAACUCAUGAGAUAUAUUUGAAUUCCGAAUUAAGUGGUCAGAAAACUACCCUGAAGUUUUUUGAAGGUCAAGCCCCCAAUGAACGAAGAACUGGUUGGCUUUCACAAGAGUACAGGAUUACACAAAGGGGAUUAUGUCACAAAACCGAGCAAAAGGACUUUAAAUCACUUUGCAGAAUCUUCCUUUCCAGUGCGCAUAGCCCCAAAAAUGAUAUUCAGCCCAAAGACAGAGAGAUUGAUGAUAGUGAAAAAUGCAUUGAUUCACUGGCAUCGGUUAACCCUAACACUAACAAUUCCUCAGCACAAGAUUCUUCAAGCAAAUCCGAGGUGAAGGUCUUGAACUCUUUUCCAGAUGAUUUUGCAGAACAAGAUUGUUUCUUGAGAGGCGACUUCUUGGAACUGGAUGAUCUUACAGAACUCAAGUCACUUUCUUCUAGUUCAGAGAAUUCAAGUUGUCCAAGCCGGGCAUCUGAUGAAUAUUUUGAUUCAUUGGCCUUGUUGCGGGACCUGAAUGAUGGGGAUGACAAACUUCAGGGGGAGGAUUCAAUCCAAUAUAGGUUUUCUGCAUCCAUUAGACCAAAUAAGGUGGUUAUGAAGCCAGCCACUUUAGCAGAUUGCUGGUUUGCAGCACUUGUUGAUAUUUCCCUUUCAAAAUGUUAUCCUAGAAUCUAUACAGAGUGGUACUGGAAAUAAGCUUACAGUUGAAGGAUUUCUAACUGGGUCAGCACCUGAUCCAAGGUUCCCAGAACAAUUCCAAGAGCAUGCUAAUGAAAGGCAGAAAUCGGAUCACAGAAUUGAAGGCACGUCCACUUUCCUUGAUGCAGCAAAGCCAUCUGCUAGCCAAAAAGCUGAGUCACCUGGAGAAAGAAAGGCCGUUGUAGGCAGAAUGAAAAGGCUUAAGGAGAUUCUCUGUUUCAAACCAUUCUAAAUCCUCCUCGUGUUUAAAUAUAACAGGGCAGCAGCUGUCCUAUUUAUGUUCAUUUGAUUGAAGAAAUUGCUACUUAUCAUUGGGGUUCAACAGAUAAUUUAGCAGGGGAAGAUAACACGUCAAGCAUGUAUGGUUAAACUUAAAAGCAAGUAAAAGUUAGUUUGAAGUAAGUUUAUGUAUUUUUGGAAUGUAGUUUUAAGUUUUUGUUUUUUUAGUAGUUACCUUAUUUCUUGUUUUCCAGGAAAGAAUGUUAAUUGAUAAUUUCUCUUUAACUA